rnacentral:rRNA from 1 species
AAGAGUCUCCGCUAAAGGAUUGGUCUAUGUCCUAUCAGCUUGUUGGUGAGGUAAUGGCUCACCAAGGCUAUGACGGGUAUCCGGCCUGAGAGGGUGAACGGACACACUGGAACUGAGACACGGUCCAGACUCCUACGGGAGGCAGCAGUAGGGAAUAUUGCUCAAUGGGGGAAACCCUGAAGCAGCAACGCCGCGUGGAGGAUGAAGGUUUUAGGAUUGUAAACUCCUUUUGUUAGAGAAGAUUAUGACGGUAUCUAACGAAUAAGCACCGGCUAACUCCGUGCCAGCAGCCGCGGUAAUACGGAGGGUGCAAGCGUUACUCGGAAUCACUGGGCGUAAAGAGUGCGCAGGCGGGAUAGCAAGUCAGAUGUGAAAUGCUAUGGCUUAACCAUAGAACUGCAUUUGAAACUGCUAUUCUAGAGUGUGGGAGAGGUAGGUGGAAUUCUUGGUGUAGGGGUAAAAUCCGUAGAGAUCAAGAGGAAUACUCAUUGCGAAGGCGACCUACUGGAACAUUACUGACGCUCAUGCACGAAAGCGUGGGGAGCAAACAGGAUUAGAUACCCUGGUAGUCCACGCCCUAAACGAUGAAUGCUAGUUGUUGCCCUGCUCGUCAGGGCAGUAAUGCAGCUAACGCAUUAAGCAUUCCGCCUGGGGAGUACGGUCGCAAGAUUAAAACUCAAAGGAAUAGACGGGGACCCGCACAAGCGGUGGAGCAUGUGGUUUAAUUCGAAGCUACGCGAAGAACCUUACCUAGGCUUGACAUUGAUAGAAUCUGCUAGAGAUAGCGGAGUGCUGGCUUGCCAGAGCUUGAAAACAGGUGCUGCACGGCUGUCGUCAGCUCGUGUCGUGAGAUGUUGGGUUAAGUCCCGCAACGAGCGCAACCCUCGUCCUUAGUUGUUAGCAGUUCGGCUGAGCACUCUAAGGAGACUGCCUUCGCAAGGAGGAGGAAGGUGAGGACGACGUCAAGUCAUCAUGGCCCUUACGCCUAGGGCUACACACGUGCUACAAUGGGGUGCACAAAGAGAAGCAAUAUCGCGAGAUGGAGCAAAUCUCCAAAACGCCUCUCAGUUCGGAUUGUAGUCUGCAACUCGACUACAUAAAGCUGGAAUCGCUAGUAAUCGCAAAUCAGCAAUGUUGCGGUGAAUACGUUCCCGGGUCUUGUACUCACCGCCCGUCACACCAUGGGAGUUGUAUUCGCCCUAAGCCGGAAUGCUAAAUUGGCUACCGUCCACGGCGGAUGCAGCGACUGGGGUGAAGUCGUAACAAGGUAACCGUAGGUGAACCUGC